GAUGAACGCUGGCGGCGUGCCUAAUACAUGCAAGUCGAGCGAACGGACGAGGAGCUUGCUUUUCUGAUGUUAGCGGCGGACGGGUGAGUAACACGUGGAUAACCUACCUAUAAGACUGGGAUAACUUCGGGAAACCGGAGCUAAUACCGGAUAAUAUGUUGAACCGCAUGGUUCAACAGUGAAAGACGGUCUUGCUGUCACUUAUAGAUGGAUCCUCGCUGCAUUAGCUAGUUGGUAAGGUAACGGCUUACCAAGGCAACGAUGCAUAGCCGACCUGAGAGGGUGAUCGGCCACACUGGAACUGAGACACGGUCCAGACUCCUACGGGAGGCAGCAGUAGGGAAUCUUCCGCAAUGGGCGAAAGCCUGACGGAGCAACGCCGCGUGAGUGAAGAAGGUCUUCGGAUCGUAAAACUCUGUUAUUAGGGAAGAACAGAUGUGUAAGUAACUGUGCACAUCUUGACGGUACCUAAUCAGAAAGCCACGGCUAACUACGUG
rnacentral:rRNA from 1 species